CCUAAAUCGAUGUGGAAGAAGGUGGAAAAACAGCAAAAUAUGAAAGAAGAAGGAAAGUGGAAAGGAAGAUGGAAAACAGCAACCAAGGUACAAAUAGGAAAAAGCCCCUUCUUCACAGCCCACUUAAAUGCUAUCCACAGAUUUCAGCCAAGAGGACUGAUGUUGACUACAGAGUACAUUUGCUGACCCAAAUUGUGAUCCCUAUCCUGCCAGGUUUCUUUGACAAAACUACACUUCAACCAAAACAACUGCAAGCAAAUCGCCAAACUCAGAGAGCACCAAGGACUCUACAGUUUUUACUCUCCAUGAUCUGACUUAGUGGAAGAUUCUUUCAUCUGUAGAUAUCAUGUUUUGGGGUCCUAGGAAUAAAAAAUCUUACUUGUC